rnacentral:rRNA from 1 species
UACCCGGAGGAAGAGAAAGAAAAUUCGAUUCCCUUAGUAGCGGCGAGCGAAACGGGAAGAGCCCAAACCAACAAGCUUGCUUGUUGGGGUUGUAGGACACUCUAUACGGAGUUACAAAGGACGACAUUAGACGAAUCAUCUGGAAAGAUGAAUCAAAGAAGGUAAUAAUCCUGUAGUCGAAAAUGUUGUCUCUCUUGAGUGGAUCCUGAGUACGACGGAGCACGUGAAAUUCCGUCGGAAUCUGGGAGGACCAUCUCCUAAGGCUAAAUACUCUCUAGUGACCGAUAGUGAACCAGUACCGUGAGGGAAAGGUGAAAAGCACCCCGGAAGGGGAGUGAAAUAGAACCUGAAACCGUGUGCUUACAAGUAGUCAGAGCCCGUUAAUGGGUGAUGGCGUGCCUUUUGUAGAAUGAACCGGCGAGUUACGAUUUGAUGCAAGGUUAAGCAGUAAAUGUGGAGCCGUAGCGAAAGCGAGUCUGAAUAGGGCGUUUAGUAUUUGGUCGUAGACCCGAAACCAGGUGAUCUACCCUUGGUCAGGUUGAAGUUCAGGUAACACUGAAUGGAGGACCGAACCGACUUACGUUGAAAAGUGAGCGGAUGAACUGAGGGUAGCGGAGAAAUUCCAAUCGAACCUGGAGAUAGCUGGUUCUCUCCGAAAUAGCUUUAGGGCUAGCCUCAAGUGAUGAUUAUUGGAGGUAGAGCACUGUUUGGACGAGGGGCCCCUCUCGGGUUACCGAAUUCAGACAAACUCCGAAUGCCAAUUAAUUUAACUUGGGAGUCAGAACAUGGGUGAUAAGGUCCGUGUUCGAAAGGGAAACAGCCCAGACCACCAGCUAAGGUCCCAAAAUAUAUGUUAAGUGGAAAAGGAUGUGGCGUUGCCCAGACAACUAGGAUGUUGGCUUAGAAGCAGCCAUCAUUUAAAGAGUGCGUAAUAGCUCACUAGUCGAGUGACACUGCGCCGAAAAUGUACCGGGGCUAAACAUAUUACCGAAGCUGUGGAUUGUCCUUUGGACAAUGGUAGGAGAGCGUUCUAAGGGCGUUGAAGCAUGAUCGUAAGGACAUGUGGAGCGCUUAGAAGUGAGAAUGCCGGUGUGAGUAGCGAAAGACGGGUGAGAAUCCCGUCCACCGAUUGACUAAGGUUUCCAGAGGAAGGCUCGUCCGCUCUGGGUUAGUCGGGUCCUAAGCUGAGGCCGACAGGCGUAGGCGAUGGAUAACAGGUUGAUAUUCCUGUACCACCUAUA